UACGUAGGUGGCAAGCGUUGUCCGGAAUUAUUGGGCGUAAAGCGCGCGCAGGUGGUUUCUUAAGUCUGAUGUGAAAGCCCACGGCUCAACCGUGGAGGGUCAUUGGAAACUGGGGAACUUGAGUGCAGGAGAGAAGAGUGGAAUUCCACGUGUAGCGGUGAAAUGCGUAGAGAUGUGGAGGAACACCAGUGGCGAAGGCGAGUCCCUGGACAACACCUGACACUGAGGCACGAAAGCUAGGGGAGCAAACAGG
rnacentral:rRNA from 1 species